rnacentral:rRNA from 1 species
UUUUUGAUAAUAAUAUAAAGUAGGGCCUGCCCACUGAGUAAUUGAAGGGCCGCAGUAUUUUGACUGUGCAAAGGUAGCAUAAUCAUUAGUUUUUUAAUUGAAAGCUUGUAUGAAUGGUUUGAUGAGAAAAUAUCUUUCUAUAUUUAAAUUAUGAAGAAUUUUAUUUUUGAGUUAAAAAGCUCAAAUAAAUUUAAUAGACGAGAAGACCCUAUAGAGUUUUAUUAUUAACUUUUUUUAUAUUUUUGGAAUUUAAUUUUUUAAAAAGCUAAAUAAUUUGAUUGGGGUGAUUAGAAAAUUAGAGGAACUUUUUUUUAUUAAAAACAUUGAUUUAUGAGUAUUUGAUCCAUGAAAUUGAUUAAAAGAAUAAAUUACCUUAGGGAUAACAGCGUUAUUUUUUUUUAGAGUUCUAAUCGAGAAAAGAGAUUGCGACCUCGAUGUUGGAUUAAAGUUAAUUUUUGGUGUAGAAGCUAAAAAAUUUGGUCUGUUCGACCAUUAAAUCUUUACA